UGUUAUUAGCUGAGGUGUUGUGUUUUAAUCCUCAGGCACCCAACAAGAGGGAAUUCCCCCACGCCAAUUGGAAGGAGACAAGGACGCACCCCCAACCCUCCAGCAGCGGCUGGGACUCCAGGCAAGGCAAAGUCCCACACCACAAUUGAACUCAGCCCCACUUUUCCCACAGCUGCCUUCCCUGAGAAGCUGCCCCAGUGAGGGUGAACCAGGGAAAGAAAGGUAAGAGCAAAUGUGUGUGUCAAGCGUGGAGGCAGAAGCCCGGGGAAGGUCCCUUCACUUCCAAGGGUGAGUGAAACACAUGGCCAAGUAGUGAACUGCCAGAGCUAGCAGGAGUCUUUGUACAUGCUAGCACUCUGUUUAUUCUCUAUAGCAUCACAGGGUGGGCGAGCUACGCCAUGAGAUGUCCAGCCCAGGCUUCUGACACUAUGCUGAAGAAGAAAACUGGUUUUUGCUUCUCACUGAGCCCUGAGCCUGAGCCCAAAAGAGCAGAGUGGAGAACAGGAGGAGGGAAAUGGGUCACAAACUUUGACCCAGGGUCUCAGAGUGGCCUAAAUAGAAAGAGGCCUUUGGAAACCCCUGCAGGGGAGCCUAGGUUACCUCAGCCCCUUCACCAACAUAGUGCCAGUUGCCCUGAGAAGGGUCCUUUGUCAGCACCCAAAGUUGCCUUCUCCUUGCUCUGCCUGUGGGAAGACCACCCCUCUCCACAGGGGCUAAGCCAGCCCUGCUAGCAGGACAGACCCCCCCCUUAUUCUUAAACAUGUAAUGUUAAUGACAACACAAACUGCCCCCACUCCCAGUCCCUCUUCUACAAUUCCAAACAUCUCCAGGCCCUAGAAAGGUUUCCCCAUAACUUAUUUAGCAAAAACCUGGCCUAAGCAGACAUGAGACUGCCUGUAGACCCCCCCCCCCAACUUUGGGUGAAUAUUGCAUGCUUUCAGGGAUAGGUAUUCCUGUGUUUGAUCAUGGCAUUGUCCCAACCUUGCUGAAUUAUAUAUGACAUUAGAACAUGUAUCGUAUUAUUUUUCUUAAAGUCUAGAAACAGGACUUCUGAGACACAUUUCUGUUGAAACCUGACAAACCUGCCUUCACCAGCCCUGAGCGUUGGGCUCACCAGAUACCAGAGGCUAUGCUGAACACUCUGCAGGCUUCAGUUCCCUUGACCCCAGCAGCUCUGUUUAUUUCCAAAUGGUCAAUGAAGAAACUGGGGAACCUUACCAGAAUCACAUUAGUUAACUAAAAGAUAUUGCCGAAUUUGAAUCCAAGGACCUGGGGACUUUUGGAGCCAGUUAUACCUGCUCCUGCCUACUUGGGGCAAAUGGAGACCUCCAGCAGCAGCCCAGAGUGCCAGCUGCUCAGGUUGAGCUUGUCCAGCCCACCCGGGAGGAGCUUAGCACAGAAGUUCCCAUGGAAAGUUUGAGAUUUCAUGAGAUUGAAACCAGAUAACUCCUCAUAAACACUGCCCACCAUAAACACAGCACAGGGUCUGGGUAUGUGCACACCCUCCCUCCUGUUCCCAGCUUGUUCCAGGGAAGGAAACUGCCCCAGGCUGCAUUCAGGCCAGUGGGACAGGAGCUCACGAGCCUUAGACACCAGACAGGCAGGGCUGGGUGGUGGAAAGGAACAAGAGACAGUUCUGUGCUGGGAGAGGAAUGUCCUCAACACUUUCCCUGGUGUCAUCUGUUUUUGGGUUUCUGAAUGAGCAGAGAACUUAGAGAGUGUUCUGCUGCCAUGUUUCCCAGUUACUUCUCUGUUCUUUCAUUUACUUGUUCCCUCCACAACUCACCAUAGACAGUCACGCAGCAAACAUUUAGUAUACCAUGAGUGGAACUGAACCAAAUUACCCCUGACCUAGAAAUCAAGCCCAUUGCUGUUCCUAGAAGGAAGAGACCAUUAGGGAAGCCUGAGCCUGGGUUGAUCUCUACAUGAUACUGAGAAGCUAGGGGCUGGAGAAAUGGCUCAGUGACCAAGUGCUUGCUGUGCAAGAGUGAGGACCUAGGCCGGGAUUCCCAGCAUGCAUGAAAAGGCUGGGUGCAGUGGCACACACCUGUAACCCCAGUGCUAGGACAUGGGGACCAGCAGAUCCCGGGGACUCCUUGACCAGUCAGUCUAGCCAAAAUGACAUUCUUCAGGUUUCGUGAGAGACCCUACCUCCCAACGUGAGACAGAGCUUCGUCUGUUGAAGGUAGUUGAGGUCAACCUCCAGCCCCCAUGUGUGCAUGCAUAGGUGAGCACACUUGCAUCUGCACACAUGCAUGUACACACUACAUGCAUGCACAUACAAAAGAAGUCAUCACUGAAUUGAUAGCAAUUGCCAAGACCUACCAUUGUAGGUAUGUGGGUUUUUCUUUUUUUUAAUCAUCUGUUUGGAGAUAAAGGCAAACAUAGUUGCACAUAAAAUAAUACUGUGUCUGGGGCCGUUUUAAAAUAACAGAACAGUGAAAUGGAAGUGAGCAGGGUGAAGUUCUGAUGAAAUUCUAAGGUGAUUGGUGGGCCCCCAGGGGUCCUGGCACCACCUUCUCCUCUUUGUAUGUUUGACCUUUCACAGUAUCAAGUGCAAGAUAACAUGUAGCCUAAGUUUUCCAAGGACCCAUGUGACUUUCUUCACUCCCUCCUUAGAAGUCCCUUGGUCCGGGGUACCCUGGAUAUGGAGAUGACUGCUUAGGUACAGAGGCCUCAGGCCAAGGCAGCUCACACUGAGCAACAGUGGCACCCCAGCUGGCACAAGCACUGUUGCUCCUCGUGCCUUCUCAUCCCAGUAUCCAUCCAUCUGCUCACUGGUUCCAUUUCUUCCUCCAAAAUCUCUCUCAGAUUCACCGUCCUUAACUUCAUCUUCUCUCCUCAGCAUUUGUCUAAGAUGCCAUCCUUUCCCCCAACCCAGUGGCCAUCCAGGCCACCUCCUCUCCCCCUCAGUUUCUCACACUCCUUUUCUUCUCAAGUCCACACCAGAUCCUCAGAAGUUGAGAGCAUCAGAUGGAUGCUUGGUGCUCAGAACUGGUGAUUUAAACACACCAGGUCCCCGCCCUUGGCCUUCCAAGCAGGGACACCAAAACCAAAUGCAUGGAUAGCCCUGCUAGACAUUGUGAUUAUGGACAAUACUGUGAUGUGCCAUCCAGGUGGUGGUGACAGGCCCUAACCAUCCUGGUGGCUGUAGAUGCCAGCGCCUGUGAAAGCCAUGUCUCUGUCGCCAAACCCAGUCCUUUGUAGAGAUGACAAUUGUGACCUGGGGUGGAGGCAGCUUGGUUCCUCUCAAGUUCCAGAGCUAAGGGCUACAGCUAGGCAGCUAGACUGCAAAAAGAAUGUCAGCCUACUCCUUCCAGAGAAAUCCCUGACUGAUCAGUUCCCCUGGCAGGGGACAGGGCAGAACUAGAAAGGACCCAAGAGGCAAGCCUGCUUCUCCUAGGCCCCUAGUCCCAGCCCAUGCCUAGGUAAGUGGAAAAGCAUUUCUGUUUAAUACUUCAGUCUCCACCCACUGCUUAAUGAAGAAAAGGGCUUUUCUGGGCCCCCUCCCCAGCCCCUUAGCCACCACACACAGCUUGAGCAGGCCCCACAGGGCCUUGAAAACCCAGCAAUUUGAUUUUCCCAGGCCCCUCCUAUCCCAAGUAGGGCCCAGAAGGCAGCUCCUCAGUCACGAAUCAGCCUGUGCGGCCAGCUCCAAACCUGGGCCUCUUGCCAGGGGUGUUAGAAGGGAAAAGCUGGGUUUCUAUGCUGUUCCCUGUGCCUCUGGCUCAGGCCUCACUGCCCUUGCCAAUGAGUCUUCCUCACCUCCAAGUCAACCCUGCAUCUCAUGGUCCAGCUCUGGGCCUGCCUGCCUUCACUGAGCAGCCUCAGAAAGAUGAUUAGAUGAACCCCAAGUUCUGCUGAUAGGGUACAGAAGCUGGCUGAUGAGAGGACAGACUAGCCAGAGUCAGGGUGGAAAGCUGUUGGGGACAUGAGUAGGCAGCAGGGGCCACUUCUGAAAUGCUCCUGACAUCCAGCACCCUGGGAGUCUGCCCCUACAGUCAGUCAACAAUAUGGAUGUGCCUGCUGCAGCUGAGGUUGAGAAUCCCCGCCAAGGAUGGAACCGCCCUGCCUGGUUUCCUCCCAGGCUGUCCUGGAGACCACCCAAGUGGACUCUAUCUGCUUGAGUUAAGCUAAACUCACUGUCUCCAAGCUGUACAGGUCUUCCUCUCUGGACUACUAAGCCCCAACAGCUGACCAUGGCAUGCAUCAGGGCCACAGGGAUUGAGGUGUAAGAAUGGAUUGGGGCAGAAGAUACUGAAGUGGCUCCCACCUGGACUGGUUCCUGAGAACACUGGCUUUGCCUGAACCAAAGGCAAGAGGACUGUUGCCUAGCGCUGCUCUGGCCCACUCUGACCUUGGUGUCUGCUUGGCUCUUCUUUCCAUUGCUCCCGUGUUGCUCCUCUCAUCAGCACUAAGAGUUCCACUCAAGCUGGCCCCGUGCCUUCCCCUCUGCCUGCUUCCCAGUCUGCAUCCUACCUACCAUUCUACCUAGGUCCUAUCCAGAUCCCUAGCUCUCUUGCACUCCAUCCUUUGCACGAGUAUAAAUUUUUCUGGAAUAUGCAUCCUUUUGCCCCAGGUCUGAGUUCCUGAUCUGUUGUGGACAGGGCCCUGGGACCAGAUUCUAGUACCAGUUGGAUGACCUCCAACAACUGAAGCCUUAUUAAAGAGGAAUAUUAAGGCCAAUUAAUGGGCUGUUUGGUAAAGAUUGGAUAAUAUGUGAGUGGCUGUCACAUUGGGAUAUUUGGUAAACAUAGUGAUCAUGCAAUGAUGUGACCAGGGCAGUGUCCACUGUCCCGUCAGUGUCUCUGCAAGGAUGCAGCUCUUUGAGGACUGGAUCAACCUUUCUGUCUUCUAUCCAGUCCUGUACUCUUCUAGUGCCCAGUGUGACCUGCCCAGGAAGAGGCCCAGUGAGAAACUGGUUCACAUGGAAGGAGAAGGGUCCCACUGGGAGGGCCCAAGAGCAAUCUCUUACUCAGCUCUGGACAGAUCAGAUGUGAGGUGAUCAUGAGGUGCUUUGGUUACUUUGUAUUUACAGACAGGAGCUGCCCCUGUCCCGGCCCACAUCCUGCCCCCUGACCAGACCCCGCCCAUGACCCCACCCCACCCCUGGCCCCACCUGCUAUAGGACCUACCCCUUUCUCUGCUUGGUAGAAAAGGAGAGGUGGGGAAAGGGAGGCUGAAGGGGCUCUGUUUCCAGACUUAGGUUGUCUUCCUGUUUCUUUCUGUAGAAGGUGAGCCAAGGCUCAGAACCCUGAGGUGGCCAAUGGUAGUAGCACUUGGGAUCUUCAGGUCAGGAUUCUGGGUGCUGAGGUGCCCAGAUUUCCUCAUGGCUAUCAGGAACCCCCAUGCUUAGAGAAUCCUAUUGCUAACUUUUAUAGAACAGGGAAACUUCCCUUCAGGCAUUCCAGGUCACCUGUAUCUUGGCUGAGUGUGAGGACUCUCACACAGCCCCAGAUGCCCUCCCUGAACCUUCCACCCUGAGUCAGAAAAGGCAUUAUUUCCCCCAGGCCAGCCGAAACUUUGAGUUCUUGGCCUUUUCUGGUUUAUCUAGAGGAAGGGAAAUGACGUCAUGAGGUAAACCACAAGGCUGGGUGCCCCAUGAGCUUUGCUUUCCAGCAAAAGUUACUUGUACAUGUGGAAGGGACAGGGAGUCUGGGUCACUCUGCUUAGAGAUGAGUGGGGUGGCAGCAGGAUUUUUAACAUGGAACUCCGAGAAAGAAGGGUUCCCAGAGAUGUUGGACACAGAGGCCAGGCAGGGUAGACAAAUGGGUGAUGUGAACACCUUGACUUUUCUAUGUGGCAGGUCAACUUCUAGGCAGGGCAGGCUAAUGGCUGACUGCUCACAAAGUCCCAAGUUGACCUGUGUAGAAUUCCAGAUCAUAUUUACCAUGGCAUAGGAAGAGCGGCAAGAAUAAGAAGCUGGGCAACUCAUGCUGCUAAUGUCUCUGUUACCUCCUUUCCAUGACCUCCUGAGAUGGAACCCUGUGAAGAAGGCAUUCACCAUGCACAAAUGAGCAGCAGGAAGCUGGUAACUCCCUGGCCAGGGCUUCCAACUCUACAUACAAAGCUUAUUUGGAAGCAGGCUGGCAAUGUCUGCUUGAGUCCUGUGUGACUGGCCCCCUCUAUGAGCACCAGCUCUCGUCUGCUACCUGUCCCCUAGAGAAGCCUGCUGCCCUUGGCAAGUCUGGGCCUUUUAAUCCUUCACUCUGCCUCAUGGGACCCCCUGAGACCACACAGCCAGAACCUCAGAGCUCAGCCUCUUGCUUUUUGCUUCAUCUGAAAGGAGAGGCUUGAGGCGUGGAAGCUGAACGGCCUCCCAAGUCUGAUUUCACUAGCCAUCCCUUGUAUGUAGUGGGUGAGGCCAAGAGAGGACAAAGGGUUUAUCGAAGGCUGCCACGAGGCAAGCCAGAGUUCCGGACUCUUCCCCCAACAUCGGCUGCUUCAUGCUUGUGCCUGAACAAAGCACUCUCACGGGAGAGCUGGAAGCAGAGGGGCUGGGGAGGAUGUCUUCCUUACCAUCUCCAUCAACAUUAAUGCCAUCCUCACCAGUGUCAGCCGGUCAGACCCUUCAACACGGGUACAGUUCCGUGGAUGCUUCCUUGCUUCCUCGUUUGCGAAUUCAUUGACUCAUUCUCCGAGACUGCCGAUGAGAAGCAGGCUGCCUGGCUCUCUUGCUAGCCAGUUGUGUGACCUUGACUCUCUUCCCAGACCUUGGUCAUGAUGCUUAGAAUGUCUUCCCCAGCAGCCUGGAGCUUUCUGUCAUUAGUCUUCAAGGCCUGCUGUUUCCCACAGAACACAUUGGCAGCUUUCUCCAGACAGAUAAGCAGUGAUGUCUCCCCCUGGUCAGAGUGUCAGUGACUCUCAACAGCCAUGGCAAACAGAAGACGCUUGGGCCUUUCGGGACCCAGGCCCCCACUUCCAGGCCUUGCCCUCCCUCUCCAAUCCUGGAGACACAGCCCAACAUCUUCAGGAGCCCCACUCCUCCACAAGGGCUUGUCUGACUAUGGGAUUGCAGUGGCGGUGUGUUCUCAGAUGCUGUGCGUUCUCGUGCUAGGAAAACAGCCUUGGGAACCAGAUGGGUAAGUUGCAUGAAGCUAAAAUGGAGCAGUGACUGCCUGAAGUCUGGAAGAGAGAAUUUUAGACAAAGACAAGGGAGCUGGCCCUUUGACAACAGAGCAGAGGCUGGGUUGAUGCAUGUGCCAGUCAGGUAUUUGCAAUGUGCUGACCCCAGCCAGAAGCUAGGAGAGAACAGGGUAUGGUCUUUUCUCAGAGCCUCCAAAAGGAACCAGCCUACCAAGGCCCAUGGGAGACCUGGAUUCCUGAUGCUGUAACCCUGGAUUCUCUGGCAGCUCUACUAGCCUCCUUAGUUACCUAGGCCAACCAAGUCUCUACCUUUCCUUAAGCUGUUUCUACCAGGGUCCUUUCUCAUUCAACUGGGAGAGGCCAACAUGAUAACAGAUUUAAAGUGUAUUGCUUAGUACCUGGCUGGUGAUGAGCCAUCUCUAAAUGGCAGUUAUGAUUGCUUUAUUCCAACUCUAGAGCAAGGGCCCUGUCACAGGUUGUGUUCCUUGGGGAGUAGACUCUCAGAGGGAGAGGCUUAGGUUAAACCUCUAUGGACAGGGGCAAAGAUACAGCAUAGGACAAAGGGAUGCUGAUCUGAGAUUGGGCCCAUUGGGAAUUCUGCAACUCGAAUUGCUCUGUACAGUCUUGCCAUGCUGGGCCAAGGUUGCUGGGCCUUUCUGUGAUCACAGCCUUCGGCCCUUGAACCUGCACCACCUGAGAAGAGGUGAGGCUCUAGGAGAGGCUCCUCCCUACAGCUAAAGUUGUUCCUGGAAGGACAGACAGCAGAUCAGGCACACUCUCAGUAAUAUGUCCUUCCCAAAGGUGACCCAGGAGAGACAUGGUGGCUCCUGUCACACCUAUAUAUUCAACAUGUAGUGUGAAAACAUUCAUCAUUCAAAACCUAGAGUUGAUGGUGGCAAAGCCCAGUGACCCAGGUGGUCUCAGUUAAGGAAGUCUUUCAGACAUGAUGCCCUAGUGGUGGAUGGAGAUGGAGUCAGAGUAGAAGGACACACCUCAGCAGGGCUGGACAAGAGGUAGUCGUGUGAGGUGUGACCAGGUGUGGUGGCUUGGCUCCUCAGUUGUCUGAAUGAGUUAGUAGGUAAGCAGGGCACUGUCUAUGGCUGUUUCUGUUGCUUCUCUUCUCCAUAAAGGCAAGCUCUUGAAGCUCUGCCAUUUGUUUUUCUCUGCUAAGUAGCUCUCUGUACACAUAGGGUAGAGUCUUCCAAUUGGAUAACCCUUCAGAGUCUCCCCCUUUUUUUAGUGCUUUGUUUCCCAGGGUUUUUCUUCCUCUAGCCCUGGUAUCUCUACAUCCCAGGCCAGAAUAAAAGCCUCCUGUACACACUGCACACAGUUAGGACCUACUUGUGUGCUUCACUAACCCUAGCCAGGACAGCUGAUGGCCUGGCUCUAUCGCAAAGCCAGGCCUGCCUGCCUUAUCAGGUGAGAUCCAGGGCUUAGAGAGAGGAAUCUGGUUGUUCAAACAACAGUAGGUGGUUGACACAGGAAGUGGGACCUACCCCCCACCCACCCUGGGCCUUCCCUGGGCACAAUGCAAACCCCCCAACGAAGCCAGGUUCAUUUCUCUAAGGAGCAUCUGGGUUCACACACAGGGUUUUCCCCAACAUAGAACUGGAGAGAAACAGGCUGCCAGAGACAAAGGGAUGAGGAGGAUGACUUGGCAUGAAUGAAGCAGCCCUGUCUCUGGGACUACUUGGUCCUAUCUUGUACUCCUUCUCCAAUUACAGGUGAUAAAAAAAAAAAUGGAGUCCCCAAAGUGAGGCAGUGCAUCAGUAAUUUCUCCAUGGGGGUCAAGUCCAGGUUGGCUGCCCUAUCUUUCUAUCAAUUAUUUUCCCUAAACUUGCUUUAUUCCCUGAGUUUAUGUGGAGCCCCUUAAGAGCUAUCUUAUUGUGUCUGGGUUCUAAAAGGUCUUCCAGCCCUGGCUUUCUUACCUCAAGUAGACCUUGGGCAACCUAAGGGCAGAUUGCUAGGAGAGAUGCUGUGAUUAGCAGGAGAGUCACUUUACUUGUGCCCUUUUGUUUCCUGUAGCCAGUCCGCUGGUGAAACAAGCACUUCCAUGGAGGUCAUUCCGCUUUGAACGUUUCUAGAAGGGACGAGUGUGCAGAGAAGGACUGAAAGGUGGCAGGCAACUGUGUGUGCGCCAGAUGCCUGCCUGA